UACGGAGGGGGCUAGCGUUGUUCGGAAUUACUGGGCGUAAAGCGCACGUAGGCGGCUUUGUAAGUUAGAGGUGAAAGCCCAGGGCUUAACCCUGGAAUUGCCUUUAAGACUGCAUCGCUAGAAUCGUGGAGAGGUGAGUGGAAUUCCUGGUGUAGCGGUGAAAUGCGCAGAUAUCAGGAGGAACACCAAUUGCGAAGGCAGCUCGCUGGAACGUAACUGACGCUGAGACGCGAAAGCGUGGGGAGCAAACAGG
rnacentral:rRNA from 1 species